GAUGAUGAAGAUAAUGAUGAUGGAAGCUUGGCGAAAAGUAUUACAACUGAAGCAUCAUAUGUUCAUGACGUAGAUGAAGAUUGAUGAGUGCAUCUUUUAUGUUUGUAGAGAAUUUAGAGAUUGUUGUGUUAGAUUAAACUAUUUAUGACUUCUUUCAUAACUUUUGUUGAAUUUAUGGAGUUGAACUUUUGUUGAAUUUGUGGUGUUGAACUUAUGUUGAAUUCGUGAUAUUUAAUUU
rnacentral:lncRNA from 1 species